CCCCCCACCAACUCGGUUGGGCUCGGGCUAUUAUAGGACCUAGGACCUAGAAUCUCCAGCCAUUCUGGACCAACCUCGCCAGUUCCAGGAGCGAACAGCGGCAGUUUUAGAAGAGAGGCACGCCACCCUGGUUUCUCUCCGUCGCUUGUCCCUCCUCGCACUCUGCUCGCUCACAGGCAGACAUGGAAGAUGGUCCGUCUUCGACAAGCUGUUUUCGAAGGAUAACGGACUGUUUUCUGGGCUCAAGUCUGACGGAUGACAAAGUGAAGGCGUAUCUUUCCCUUCAUCCUCAGAUGCUGGAUGAGUUUGUGUCGGAGAGCGUGAGUUCAGAGACGCUGGACAGAUGGCACAAGAGGAAGAGCUGUGGCAUCCAGCCUGCAGAUGACACGUCAUCAGGCAGCAGGG